CUGGAGAACUAUAGGAGUGUGGCCUCUCUGGAAGGCACGGAUGUGCGAGAGACUGCAGUGGAGACGGACGAAGGGCUGGAGAGUUUCUCAAGAGGAUCUCAACAGAAUAGUUCCUCCCCGAGUGAACUGGCCGCGACAGGAGACGUUGAGGAGUCAGUUGCGGAAUGUCAGCGGUUCCCAUUGGAAAAAGCCCAGAAUGAACAGCCC